AACUCCCUGAAACAGCUCAGCCUACUCAGCUAAGGGGACAAAAACACAAAACAGCAGGAUUACAGCUGUGGCUGGAGACACAAAAGACACUGUGCUCCUGAACCCCUUGCAGUCAGUCACCUUGGAUUCCAGGAACUUUGCAGGGUAGUACUGUCUACGUGCUACAUUUUAUGACUUGUAUGGUACUUCCAUCAUGGAGUCAGUUGUACUAAGAUGGAGGGGCUUACUAAGGUCUGGGGCCUUAUUACAAGGUUACUGCUGCCCAUUAGAGCCCAUCAUAACUGCCUUUUCCUCCCUUGGGUGCUGGAGCUGCUGAAUUCUGGACCCCUGGAAGAACAGCAUGUAUCCUUAGCUACUGAGUCAUCUUUCCAGCAUCAUUUCCUCCUUUAUAACACAUAUUAAUGCUGUCAUUUUAAUAAAGUCUUUGUUAU
rnacentral:lncRNA from 1 species